rnacentral:rRNA from 1 species
AUACGUAGGGAGCAAGCGUUGUCCGGAAUUACUGGGCGUAAAGGGCGUGUAGGCGGCCGAUCAAGUCAGGUGUGAAAUUUCAGGGCUCAACCCUGAGCGUGCACUUGAAACUGGUUGGCUUGAGUGCAGAAGAGGAAAGUGGAAUUCCCAGUGUAGCGGUGAAAUGCGUAGAUAUUAGGAGGAACACCAGUGGCGAAGGCGGCCUGCUGGACGACAACUGACGCUGAGGCGCGAAGGCGUGGGGAGCAAACAGGAUUAGAUACCCUGGUAGUCCACGCUGUAAACGAUGAAUACUAGGUGUGGGGGGACUGACCCCCUCCGUGCCGCAGUUAACACAAUAAGUAUUCCACCUGGGGAGUACGAUCGCAAGAUUGAAACUCAAAGGAAUUGACGGGG